rnacentral:rRNA from 1 species
CCUACGGGGUGCAGCAGUGAGGAAUAUUGGUCAAUGGACGCAAGUCUGAACCAGCCAUGCCGCGUGCAGGAAGACGGCUCUAUGAGUUGUAAACUGCUUUUGUACGAGGGUAAACGCAGAUACGCGUAUCUGUCUGAAAGUAUCGUACGAAUAAGGAUCGGCUAACUCCGUGCCAGCAGCCGCGGUAAUACGGAGGAUUCAAGCGUUAUCCGGAUUUAUUGGGUUUAAAGGGUGCGUAGGCGGUCGGAUAAGUUAGAGGUGAAAUCUCGAGGCUCAACUUCGGAAUUGCUUCUGAUACUGUUCGGCGAGAGCGUAGUUGCGGUAGGCGGAAUGUAUGGUGUAGCGGUGAAAUGCUUAGAGAUCAUACAGAACACCGAUUGCGAAGGCAGCUUACCAAGCUACUUCUGACGUUGAGGCACGAAAGCGUGGGGAGCAAACAGGAUUAGAUACCCCUGUAGUC